rnacentral:rRNA from 1 species
GUGGGGAAUCUUCCGCAAUGGACGAAAGUCUGACGGAGCAACGCCGCGUGUAUGAAGAAGGCCUUCGGGUUGUAAAAUACUGUUGUCAGGGACGAACCGUAUAUGUGUAAAUAAUGCAUAUACCUGACGGUACCUGACGAGGAAGCCCCGGCUAACUACGUGCCAGCAGCCGCGGUAAUACGUAGGGGCAAGCGUUGUCCGGAAUUAUUGGGCGUAAAGGGCGCGUAGGCGGCUGUAUAAGUCUGAUGUGAAAGUGCGGAGCUUAACUCCGUAAAGCAUUGGAAACUGUACGGCUUGAGGACAGGAGAGGAAAGUGGAAUUCCACGUGUAGCGGUGAAAUGCGUAGAUAUGUGGAGGAACACCAGUGGCGAAGGCGACUUUCUGGACUGUAACUGACGCUGAGGCGCGAAAGCGUGGGGAGCGAACAGGAUUAGAUACCCCGGUAGUCC